UACGGAGGAUCCGAGCGUUUAUCCGGAUUUAUUGGGUUUAAAGGGUGCGCAGGCGGGCUGUUAAGCCGGCGGUAAAAUUCAGGGCUCAACCCUGAUCGAGCCGUCGGAACUGGCAGUCUGAGUGGGCGAGAAGUAUGCGGAAUGCGUGGUGUAGCGGUGAAAUGCAUAGAUAUCACGCAGAACUCCGAUUGCGAAGGCAGCAUACCGGCGCUCAACUGACGCUGAGGCACGAAAGCGUGGGUAUCGAACAGG
rnacentral:rRNA from 1 species